rnacentral:rRNA from 1 species
GAUGAACGCUGGCGGCGUGCCUAAUACAUGCAAGUCGAGCGAACAGAUGAGGAGCUUGCUCUUCUGACGUUAGCGGCGGACGGGUGAGUAACAUGUGGAUAACCUACCUAUAAGACUGGGAUAACUUAGGGAAACCGGAGCUAAUACCGGAUAAUAUAUUGAACCGCAUGGUUCAAUAGUGAAAGACGGUUUUGCUGUCACUUAUAGAUGGAUCCGCGCCGCAUUAGCUAGUUGGUAAGGUAACGGCUUACCAAGGCAACGAUGCGUAGCCGACCUGAGAGGGUGAUCGGCCACACUGGAACUGAGACACGGUCCAGACUCCUACGGGAGGCAGCAGUAGGGAAUCUUCCGCAAUGGGCGAAAGCCUGACGGAGCAACGCCGCGUGAGUGAUGAAGGUCUUCGGAUCGUAAAACUCUGUUAUUAGGGAAGAACAAAUGUGUAAGUAACUAUGCACGUCUUGACGGUACCUAAUCAGAAAGCCACGGCUAACUACGUG